rnacentral:ncRNA from 1 species
AGACCCCCGUAGCUGAAAUCUGUACGGCUCGUUGGAGAGACACCCAAGUAGCACGGGGCCCGAGAAAUCCCGUGUGAAUCUGGCGGGACCACCCGCUAAGCCUAAAUAUUCCCUGGUGACCGAUAGCGGAUAGUACCGUGAGGGAAUGGUGAAAAGUACCCCGGGAGGGGAGUGAAAUAGUACCUGAAACCGUGUGCCUACAAGCCGUGGGAGCGUCGGAUGGAAGCUUGCUUCCAUCUCGUGACUGCGUGCCUUUUGAAGAAUGAGCCUGCGAGUUUGCGGUGUGUUGCGAGGUUAACCCGGGUGGGGUAGCCGUAGCGAAAGCGAGUCCGAACAGGGCGGUGUAGUAGCGCGCUCAAGACCCGAAGCGGAGUGAUCUAGCCAUGGGCAGGUUGAAGCGGAGGUAAGACUUCGUGGAGGACCGAACCCACCAGGGUUGAAAACCUGGGGGAUGACCUGUGGUUAGGGGUGAAAGGCCAAUCAAACUCCGUGAUAGCUGGUUCUCCCCGAAAUGCAUUUAGGUGCAGCGUCGUGUGUUUCUUGCCGGAGGUAGAGCACUGGAUAGGCGAUGGGCCCUACCGGGUUACUGACCUUAGCCAAACUCCGAAUGCCGGUAAGUGAGAGCGCGGCAGUGAGACUGUGGGGGAUAAGCUCCAUGGUCGAGAGGGAAACAGCCCAGAGCAUCGACUAAGGCCCCUAAGCGUACGCUAAGUGGGAAAGGAUGUGGAGUCGCAGAGACAACCAGGAGGUUGGCUUAGAAGCAGCCACCCUUGAAAGAGUGCGUAAUAGCUCACUGGUCUAGUGAUUCCGCGCCGACAAUGUAGCGGGGCUCAAGCGUACCGCCGAAGUCGUGUCAUUCCAGUGUGAGGGCCAACGCCUGCUGGGAUGGGUAGGGGAGCGUCGUCUGCCGGGUGAAGCAGCACCGGAAGGUAGUUGUGGACGGUUGACGAGUGAGAAUGCAGGCAUGAGUAGCGAUACAAACGUGAGAAACGUUUGCGCCGAUUGACCAAGGGUUCCUGGGUCAAGCUGAUCUGCCCAGGGUAAGUCGGGACCUAAGGCGAGGCCGACAGGCGUAGUCGAUGGAUAACCGGUUGAUAUUCCGGUACCCGCUGUGAAGCGUCAAACAUCGAGCAUCGUGAUGCUAAGGCCGUGAAGCCGCCCUGAUCUCUUCGGAGUUGAGGGGAGUGGUGGAGCCGCCGGUCCAAGCGGUUAGUAGGUGAGUGAUGGGGUGACGCAGGAAGGUAGUCCAUCCCGGGCGGUGGUUGUCCCGGGGUAAGGGUGUAGGCCGUGCGAUAGGUAAAUCCGUCGUGCGUGUGGCUGAGACCUGAUGCCGAGCCGAUUGUGGUGAAGUGGAUGAUCCUAUGCUGUCGAGAAAAGCCUCUAGCGAGUUUCAUGGCGGCCCGUACCCUAAACCGACUCAGGUGGUCUGGUAGAGAAUACCGAGGCGUUCGGGUGAACUAUGGUUAAGGAACUCGGCAAAAUGCCCCCGUAACUUCGGGAGAAGGGGGGCCACACCCGGUGAUGGGUUUUACAUCCUGAGCUGGGGGUGGCCGCAGAGACCAGCGAGAAGCGACUGUUUACUAAAAACACAGGUCCGUGCGAAGCCGUAAGGCGAUGUAUACGGACUGACGCCUGCCCGGUGCUGGAACGUUAAGGGGACCGGUUAGUCAUUCUUCGGGGUGGCGAAGCUGAGAACUUAAGCGCCAGUAAACGGCGGUGGUAACUAUAACCAUCCUAAGGUAGCGAAAUUCCUUGUCGGGUAAGUUCCGACCUGCACGAAUGGCGUAACGACUUCUCGACUGUCUCAACCAUAGGCCCGGUGAAAUUGCACUACGAGUAAAGAUGCUCGUUUCGCG